rnacentral:lncRNA from 1 species
CUGCCACCGGCCCGCAGCCCCAGCGCGCCCUGCCUGACCUGGCCGAGCCCUGCCGGGGCCAGCUCACUCUGUCACAAAGGCUCGGACGCCUCUGACGGCGAGCAGCAAAGCUUGUGCUGGUUGAGCAGCAAAGCCUGUGCUGGCUGAGCACUCGCGCCCCGCCGGUUUCAGCCCUGCGGAGGCUGCGGCAGCCGCGGUGCGCUGAGCCAGAAGCGCCGGGAACACGCCCCGGGGCUGACACCGCACUCGCAGUGAGGUGGAUCAUCCUGCCGGCUUUUACAGCUCCCUUCUCUCCUGGCACAGCCAGAAUGUUAGUCUAAGAGAUAUUAAAUUCAAGCAGAAGGUAUGAAUGAUGCAAAGCCCUGAGACACAGUGCAAGAUUCCUGGUGUUUUCAACAGACACUUCAUUACACCCUCUGUGGAUGACAGCGAAGUUAUGUGUGUGAAAUGCAUAUGCUGAAACACCAAAACACUGAGCUGUUUCUGUGCAACCUGUUUCCAAUAUGAGACUCUAUGCUUGUUACCUGCUUAACCAUGUGGAAUAGUGAAAAGACAAUCUAAUCCUGGAAAUUUAUUGCUGGACUCAGAAUUGCUGGUUGUCUUUUUAAAAGCCCUCUUCCCUGGUGCCAAGUGAACAAGGGAGACUCUCAGCUGCAUUUUAAAGAUGUCAAUUUCCAGUUCUAUUGACUGAAGAGGAUCCUCAUCCAAAGCCCUAUGAGGUCCAGCAAGAGCCUUCCCCUGGUCUCCAUGGUGUCAGAGCAGCCCCUGCUUGCCCAGUGUGUCGCUUCUGCCAGAGGAUCUGGUGAAGCCUCUCCAUUUUGUCCAGAUGUAUCUUGUGGCCCAGAAAGAGUGUUUUCUCUGCCCACACACAUUAUCUUCCCCCAGCUCUAUCAAAAGGCAAAUAAACUUAUAUGUGUGAAGAAUCCCAAGAAAAUGUCUUAGAGAUGUGUGAGUUUUCUGAGUAACACCAGUGAAAAACUUUGAAUGCACAACAUUACUGAGCAGCACUGAACUUCAUACCAAGUGCCUAGGAGACCCUGGGAGAAGAGAGACAGAAAUCGAGCAGAAGAGAGAUGCCUUUUUGCAUCUUAUUUUGUUCACUUAUGAGGGAUCCUCAUUGCCAUCCUGCUUACCUGUAGGGUUGCUCAGCCUCCUCUGCAGGCUGUGUAGGAUAUAUGGGCUCCUACUUACAUAAAGGGAGGGGUUGGCCAUGGCUGGCUGCCAGGUGUCCGCUAGAGCCACUACAUCGCUCCUCCUCUGCAGCUGGGCAGGGGAGAGAGAAUAUAAC